rnacentral:rRNA from 1 species
CCUACGGGGGACAGCAGUGAGGAAUAUUGGUCAAUGGGCGCAAGCCUGAACCAGCCAAGUCGCGUGAGGGAUGACGGUCCUAUGGAUUGUAAACCUCUUUUGUCGGGGAGCAAGGCCCGCCACGUGUGGCGGGAAGGAGAGUACCCGAAGAAAAAGCAUCGGCUAACUCCGUGCCAGCAGCCGGGGUAAUACGGAGGAUGCGAGCGUUAUCCGGAUUUAUUGGGUUUAAAGGGUGCGUAGGCGGAAGGUUAAGUCAGCGGUAAAAUGUCGGUGCUCAACACCGGCCUGCCGUUGAAACUGGUCUUCUUGAGUGAGCUAGAAGUAUGCGGAAUGCGUGGUGUAGCGGUGAAAUGCAUAGAUAUCACGCAGAACUCCGAUUGCGAAGGCAGCAUACCGGCGCGCAACUGACGCUGAGGCACGAAAGCGUGGGGAUCGAACAGGAUUAGAUACCCCAGUAGUC